rnacentral:rRNA from 1 species
GAUUGAACGCUGGCGGCGUGCUUAACACAUGCAAGUCGAUCGGUAACAGGUGUAGCAAUACAUGCUGACGAGAGGCGGACGGGUGAGUAAUGCUUGGGAAUCUGCCUAUUAGUGGGGGACAACCCGGGGAAACUCGGGCUAAUACCGCAUACGCUCUACGGAGGAAAGCCGGGGACCGCAAGGCCUGGCGCUAAUAGAUGAGCCCAAGUCGGAUUAGCUAGUUGGUAGGUAACGGCCUACCAAGGCGACAAUCCGUAGCUGGUCUGAGAGGACGACCAGCCACACCGGAACUGAGACACGGUCCGGACUCCUACGGGAGGCAGC